rnacentral:rRNA from 1 species
UUGAACGCUGGCGGCAUGCCUUACACAUGCAAGUCGAACGGUAACGGGCCUUCGGGUGCCGCCGAGUGGCGAACGGGUGAGUAAUACAUCGGAACGUGCCCGAUCGUGGGGGAUAACGAGGCGAAAGCUUUGCUAAUACCGCAUACGAUCUACGGAUGAAAGCAGGGGACCGCAAGGCCUUGCGCGGACGGAGCGGCCGAUGGCAGAUUAGGUAGUUGGUGGGAUAAAAGCUUACCAAGCCGACGAUCUGUAGCUGGUCUGAGAGGAUGAUCAGCCACACUGGGACUGAGACACGGCCCAGACUCCUACGGGAGGCAGCAGUGGGGAAUUUUGGACAAUGGGCGCAAGCCUGAUCCAGCCAUGCCGCGUGCAGGAUGAAGGCCUUCGGGUUGUAAACUGCUUUUGUACGGAACGAAAAGCCUUCUUUUAAUACAGGAGGGUCAUGACGGUACCGGAAGAAUAAGCACCGGCUAACUACGUG